UAGAGUCACAGAAGUAGAGCAGGGUCAGCAAACAGCUGUGAAGAAUUGCAGCAGAGGGCUUUCCUGGUUACCUACCUUUUUUAUAGCUCAUAUGAUGAUGUUAAUGUCCAGUAACCAAUACUGCAAAUCAGACCCCUGGGUGACAUUUUUUGAGAGAGAAAAAAUGAAGUGAACUUGAACUUUACCUUUUAAAAAUAUCAAUACUUAGGGCUGAAGAGAAGGCUCAGAGGUUAAGAGCACUGACUGCUCUACCAAAGGUCCUGAGUUCAAUUCCCAGCAAUCACAUGGUGGCUCACAACCAUCUGCAAUGGAAUCUGAUGCCCUCUUCUGGUGUGUCUGAAGACAGCUACAGUGUACUCGUAGUAAAUAAAUCUUCAAAAAGGAAAAGAAAAGAAAUACUUUACAAAAUAUCAAUACUUGACUGACAUAGGACAUUUCAGACAUGCAUUUAUUCCUGAGGUUGCUUAACUUUUUAAAAAAGAGCUAUUCUGUAUUCUUUACAUUAGUGAAAUGAACACUGAUAAUUGAGACUUGCAAUCUGAUUACCUUUAUUGCAUUAACAACCCAAAUCAGCACAUGGUUUGACUUUCCUGCAUGACGGAAAUCCUUGAGUCCUAAAGAUUGAAAUGAAAGAAAAAUCUAGUCAGUAGAAUCAAGCUUUUGGACUUACAUAGGAAUCAGACCCCAAACUCUUGCCCAAAAUGAACAAUUGAAAUUCCUGUUGAGGUUUUUAAAAGUCUCCACCACCCCCUCAAGUGUUCUGCGUUUUACACAACUCAGCACUUCCAAACCAAGCCAGAAUGAAGAGCCCUGCAAUCCCUGUGGUCGGCCAUUUCCCAAGUAUUCCAAACCCACGCCUGGACCAGGACACUCCAGGAAUCUCAUCAGAGCCUUGACCCCAGGAGGUUUCUAGCUCCAUUUCCAAACCAUAGAGGUUUGGAAAAGACCUCUGUGAACCUUCCAUCUACCUCCUGCGCAUUGACAUGGUUAGCGUCAAGUUCUCACCUAAGACAAACCGACAUGGUUUACUAUACUGCAAAGCUAACGUGCCAUGGACAGCAUUAGAAACUUGGCUGGGACCAGUCAAGAUGGUUCCGUUUAACAACCUAAUAAAUAUAUUGGAAUGAGCAAUGAAAGC
ensembl:processed_transcript